rnacentral:tRNA from 1 species
GCCUGGGUGGCUCAGUCGGUUAAGCGUCCGACUUCAGCUCAGGUCAUGAUCUCGCGGUCCGUGAGUUCAAGCCUCGCGUCAGGCU